AUUGAACGCUGGCGGCAGGCCUAACACAUGCAAGUCGAACGAGUGGCGGAAGGGUGAGAAAUGUCUGGGAAACUGCCUGAUGGAGGGGGAUAAAUACUGGAAACGGUAGCUAAUACCGCAUACCAUCGGAUGUGCACAGAUGGGAUUAGCGAGUAGGUGGGGUAACGGCUCACCUAGGCGACGGUCCCUAGCUGGUCUGAGAGGAUGACCAGCAACACGGGAACUGAGACACGGUCCAGACUCCGACGGGAGGCAGCAGUGGGGAAUAUUGCACAAUGGGCGCAAGCCUGAUGCAGCCAUGCCGGGUGUAUGAAGAAGGCCUUCGGGUGGUAAAGUACUUUCAGCGGGGAGGCGUUACCCGCAGAAGAAGCACCGGCUAACGCCGUGCCAGCAGCCGCGGUAAUUC
rnacentral:rRNA from 1 species